rnacentral:rRNA from 1 species
AGACAGAGGUGCCGAGCGUUAGGCAGAAUCACUGGGCUUAAAGCGUGUGUAGGCGGACGGGUAAGUACCUUGUGAAAUCCUGCGGCUCAACCGCAGAACUGCUUGGUAUACUGCUUGUCUUGAGCCACUUAGGGGCAGUCGGAACAGAUGGUGGAGCGGUGAAAUGCGUAGAUAUCAUCUGGAACGCCAAAGGUGAAAACAGACUGCUGGGAGUGUGCUGACGCUGAGACACGAAAGCCAGGGGAGCGAACGGGAUUAGAUACCCCGGUAGUCCUGGCCCUAAACGAUGUCCACUAGAUCGUGGCGCCUCUGACGGUGUCACGGUCGAAGCAAAAGUGUUAAGUGGACCGCCUGGGAAGUACGGUCGCAAGGCUAAA